AAUCCAUGGUGAGAACACUCCCUGCAAUACUCACUAAACCUCUCCCUAGCAUCACAAAAUGGGUCAUCAACAUGCUGCUGAAACGAUGAAAUCUUGUUUUGAAGAGC